rnacentral:rRNA from 1 species
UAGGGAAUCUUCCACAAUGGGCGCAAGCCUGAUGGAGCAACGCCGCGUGAGUGAAGAAGGUCUUCGGAUCGUAAAGCUCUGUUGUUAAAGAAGAACACGUAUGAGAGUAACUGUUCAUACGUUGACGGUAUUUAACCAGAAAGUCACGGCUAACUACGUGCUAG